rnacentral:rRNA from 1 species
GUGGGGAAUAUUGGACAAUGGGGGGAACCCUGAUCCAGCCAUGCCGCGUGUGUGAAGAAGGCCUUUUGGUUGUAAAGCACUUUAAGUGGGGAGGAGGCUUACCUGGUUAAUACCUGGGCUAAGUGGACGUUACCCACAGAAUAAGCACCGGCUAACUCUGUGCCAGCAGCCGCGGUAAUACAGAGGGUGCGAGCGUUAAUCGGAUUUACUGGGCGUAAAGCGCGCGUAGGUGGUUAAUUAAGUCAAAUGUGAAAUCCCCGAGCUUAACUUGGGAAUUGCAUUCGAUACUGGUUAGCUAGAGUAUGGGAGAGGAUGGUAGAAUUCCAGGUGUAGCGGUGAAAUGCGUAGAGAUCUGGAGGAAUACCGAUGGCGAAGGCAGCCAUCUGGCCUAAUACUGACACUGAGGUGCGAAAGCAUGGGGAGCAAACAGGAUUAGAUACCCCAGUAGUCC